rnacentral:lncRNA from 1 species
GAAUGCACUCCCAGGACUGCUACUUCCACAAGAAAUGUUGUUUUUGUUCGAAAUAAUCCAUAUUUUUAUCUAAAUACCUCUGUUUUGUUCGUGAGUUCAGGUUUUCUCAGGUUUUUGCCUGCCAUAUGAGUUCUAUUAUACUCACAGACACCAUUCAAACAGUUUUAGAAACUUCAGAGUGUUUUCUAUCCAAAUCUACUAAUAAUAUGCAUAUUCUAGUUCCUGGGCCGGAGUAGUAACCAGAUUAAUUUGGGUACGUUUUUCAUCCUGCCGUGAAAAUACUGCCCCCUAUACCUUAAGAAUUUAAGGAGGAAGCAGCCUGCACAAAGGGGCAGAGGAGGUGAGAGAAAAGGGAGGUAUGAAGAGUGAGUGAGAAGAGAGGUAUGAAGGGUGAGUGAGAAGAGAGGUAGGAAGAGUGAGAGAGGAGAGGUAUGAAGAGUGAGUGAGAAGAGAGGUAUGAAGAGUGAGUGAGAAGAGAGGUAUGAAGAGUGAGUGAGAAGAGAGGUAUGAAGGGUGAGUGAGAAGAGAGGUAGGAAGAGUGAGAGAGGAGAGGUAUGAAGAGUGAGUGAGAAGAGAGGUAUGAAGAGUGAGUGAGAAGAGAGGUAUGAAGCGUGAGAGAGCAGAGCGGUAUGAAGAGUGAGAGACAAGGGAGGUAUGAAGAGUGAGUGAGAAGAGAGGUAUGAAGGGUGAGUGAGAAGAGAGGUAGGAAGAGUGAGAGAGGAGAGGUAUGAAGAGUGAGAGACAAGGGAGGUAUGAAGAGUGAGUGAGAAGAGAGGUAUGAAGCGUGAGAGAGCAGAGCGGUAUGAAGAGUGAGAGACAAGGGAGGUAUGAAGAGUGAGUGAGAAGAGAGGUUUGAAGGGUGAGUGAGAAGAGAGGUAGGAAGAGUGAGAGAGGAGAGGUAUGAAGAGUGAGAGACAAGGGAGGUAUGAAGAGUGAGUGAGAAGAGAGGUAUGAAGGGUGAGUGAGAAGAGAGGUAGGAAGAGAGAGAGGAGAGGUAUGAAGAGUGAGUGAGAAGAGAGGUAUGAAGAGUGAGUGAGAAGAGAGGUAUGAAGCGUGAGAGAGCAGAGCGGUAUGAAGAGUGAGAGACAAGGGAGGUAUGAAGAGGUGAGUGAGUGAGUGAGUGAGUGAGUGAGUGAGUGAGUGAGUGAGUGAGUGAGUGAGUGAGUGAGUGAGUGAGUAUGGUAUGAAGAGUGAGUGAGUGAGAAGAGAGGUAUGAAGAGUGAGAGACAAGGGAGGUAUGAAGAGUGAGAGACAAGGGAGGUAUGAAGAGUGCGACAAGGGAGGUAUGAAGAGUGAGAGACAAGGGAGGUAUGAAGAGUGCGACAAGAGAGGUAUGAAGAGUGAGAGACAACAACAAAAACUCUGUGUGAUUGCCCAUUGUGACCUGGACUGUCGGACUACACCCCCUGUGUACCAGACCGGAUUGGCUGAGGACCCGAGUGUGAG